rnacentral:rRNA from 1 species
CUAACACAUGCAAGUCGAACGGAUCCUUCGGGAUUAGUGGCGGACGGGUGAGUAACACGUGGGAACGUGCCCUUUGGUUCGGAACAACUCAGGGAAACUUGAGCUAAUACCGGAUGUGCCCUUCGGGGGAAAGAUUUAUCGCCAUUGGAGCGGCCCGCGUCUGAUUAGCUAGUUGGUGAGGUAAAGGCUCACCAAGGCGACGAUCAGUAGCUGGUCUGAGAGGAUGAUCAGCCACAUUGGGACUGAGACACGGCCCAAACUCCUACGGGAGGCAGCAGUGGGGAAUCUUGCGCAAUGGGCGAAAGCCUGACGCAGCCAUGCCGCGUGAAUGAUGAAGGUCUUAGGAUUGUAAAAUUCUUUCACCGGGGACGAUAAUGACGGUACCCGGAGAAGAAGCCCCGGCUAACUUCGUGCCAGCAGCAGCGGUAAUACGAAGGGGGCUAGCGUUGCUCGGAAUUACUGGGCGUAAAGGGAGCGUAGGCGGACUGUUAAGUUAGAGGUGAAAGCCCAGGGCUCAACCUUGGAAUUGCCUUUGAUACUGGCAGUCUUGAGUACGGAAGAGGUAUGUGGAACUCCGAGUGUAGAGGUGAAAUUCGUAGAUAUUCGGAAGAACACCAGUGGCGAAGGCGACAUACUGGUCCGUUACUGACGCUGA